rnacentral:rRNA from 1 species
GCCGGCAACUGGCUCUCUGCAACUCUCACAUGGUUGCCCACUGAAGCUAAGCGGGGCUGUGCACGGUCAGUACCUGGAUGGGAGACCACAUGAGAAAGCUAGGUUGCUGCCGGAA